UCUUCCAGGGGAUCCGGCAGGUCCUGGUGAUCCAUAUGAUCUGGUUCCUGAUCUGCCUGGUUGCCCAGUUGCUCCAUCAUGCCCAUUAGCUCCGCCCGAUCCAUUGUCUCCUGGCAUUCCUGGAUAUCCUGGAAGACCUCUCCCUCCAG
ensembl:ncRNA AC3.14 ncRNA